rnacentral:rRNA from 1 species
UGGAUUAUCUACCCUGAGGUGGGGGAUAACCCGGGGAAACUCGGGCUAAUACCGCAUGACAUCGAGAGAUCAAAGGGGGCCGCAAGGCUCUCGCCAUGGGAGGAGUCCGCGUACGAUUAGCUAGUUGGUAGGGUAAUGGCCUACCAAGGCGACGAUCGUUAGCCGGCCUGAGAGGGUGAUCGGCCACACUGGAACUGAGACACGGCCCAGACUCCUACGGGAGGCAG